CAAAAACAUGUCUUUUUGAUUAUAAUUUAAAGUCGAAUCUGCCCACUGAUUAAUAAUUAAAGGGCUGCAGUAUAUUGACUGUACAAAGGUAGCAUAAUCAUUAGUCUUUUAAUUGAAGACUUGUAUGAAAGAUUUGAUGAAAUAUAAACUGUCUCUUAUUUAUAAUUAAAAUUUAAUUUUUUAGUAAAAAAGCUAAAAUAUAUUUAAAAGACGAGAAGACCCUAUAGAGUUUUAUAAUUAUUUUAAUUAAUUAUUUUUAUAAAUUUAAAUUAAAAAUUAAUUUAAUUAUUUGAUUGGGGUGAUUGAAAAAUUAAAUUAACUUUUUUUAUAGAUAAACAUUAAUUAAUGAAUAAAUGAUCCAUAAUUUAUGAUUAUAAGAAUAAAUUACCUUAGGGAUAACAGCGUAAUUUUUUUUUUUAGUUCUUAUAAGAAAAAGAGUUUGCGACCUCGAUGUUGGAUUAAGAUAAAAUUUAAAUGUAGAGGUUUAAAAUUUUUGAUCUGUUCGAUCAUUAAAAUCUUA
rnacentral:rRNA from 1 species